GCUGCGAUCCGUGGGGUUCGGCCCUGUGUGAGCCCCCCAAAAACCGCGCGUGCGCAAGCACUGUCGAUGACGGCCCGUGACAGGUCGACGCGGCCCUCCUUGCCCAAGGCGCCCAGCACACACUGCCAGACCGCCGGCCAGACGCCGGCUUGGGUCCACUGGCGGAACCGACGCCAGCAGGUAGUGCCAUCGCCGCACCCCAGUUCGGCGGGCAGAUCGUUCCAGGCACAACCGGUGCGCAGCACGAACACGAUUCCCACGAGACACUUGCGG
rnacentral:rRNA from 1 species